rnacentral:rRNA from 1 species
AUUGAACGCUGGCGGCAGGCCUAACACAUGCAAGUCGAAUGGUAACAGGAAACAUCUUGCUGUUUCGCUGACGAGUGGCGGACGGGUGAGUAAUGUCUGGGAAACUGCCUGAUGGAGGGGGAUAACUACUGGAAACGGUAGCUAAUACCGCAUAACGUCGCAAGACCAAAGAGGGGGACCUUCGGGCCUCUUGCCAUCAGAUGUGCCCAGAUGGGCGUAGCUAGUAGGUGGGGUAACGGCUCACCUAGGCGACGAUCCCUAGCUGGUCUGAGAGGAUGACCGGCCACACUGGAACUGAGACACGGUCCAGACUCCUACGGGAGGCAGCAGUGGGGAAUAUUGGGCAAUGGGCGCAAGCCUGAUGCAGCCAUGCCGCGUGUAUGAAGAAGGCCUUCGGGUUGUAAAGUACUUUCAGCGGGGAGGAAGGGAGUAAAGUUAAUACCUUUGCUCAUUGACGUUACCCGCAGAAGAAGCACCGGCUAACUCCGUG